UACGUAGGGUCCGAGCGUUGUCCGGAAUUAUUGGGCGUAAAGGGCUCGUAGGCGGUUUGUCGCGUCGGGAGUGAAAACUCAGGGCUCAACCCUGAGCGUGCUUCCGAUACGGGCAGACUAGAGGUAUGCAGGGGAGAACGGAAUUCCGUGGUGUAGCGGUGGAAAUGCGCAGAUAUCAGGAGGAACACCGGUGGCGAAGGCGGUUCUCUGGGCAUUACCUGACGCUGAGGAGCGAAAGCAUGGGGAGCGAACAGG
rnacentral:rRNA from 1 species